GAAUAUUGCACAAUGGGGGAAACCCUGAUGCAGCCAUGCCGCGUGUGUGAAGAAGGCCCUAGGGUUGUAAAGCACUUUCAGUGGGGGGGAAAGGAUGUUGGUUAAUACCCAGCAUCUAUGACGUUACCCACAGAAGAAGCACCGGCUAACUCCGUGCCAGCAGCCGCGGUAAUACGGAGGGUGCGAGCGUUAAUCGGAAUUACUGGGCGUAAAGCGCGCGUAGGCGGCUGUCUAAGUUAGAUGUGAAAGCCCCGGGCUUAACCUGGGAACUGCAUUUAGAACUGGACGGCUAGAAUACAGCAGAGGAGUGUGGAAUUUCAGGUGUAGCGGUGAAAUGCGUAGAGAUCUGAAGGAACAUCAGUGGCGAAGGCGACACUCUGGGUUGAUACUGACGCUGAGGUGCGAAAGCGUGGGGAGCAAACAGG
rnacentral:rRNA from 1 species